AUUUCUAUCUGCCAGAGGCCGCUAAUAAUGCUUUGGCGUCAUCCCCUUGACGCCACUCAUUACCCACUGGGUGUGGGAAGCAGGGGUAACAGCCUUGGGUUCUGGCCUUUCUCCCACUUCCCAGACAGAUAUGUCAGUCACACCAGAAGCCUGGACUCUCGGGGAGGAACGGAGCCUCCAUGUAGACUAUGGAGCACCUGCCUAGAAAAUCAGGACCUGGUUAUAGAUUCCAGGAUUUGAAGGCAGAGAGAUCAGUGGGACUGGGAAAAUCCACACUCCACCAAGCCAAGUAGAAACACCAGCUUGUGAAGUAGAAAAACCAGAUUCUGAAACUGGGAGAGUCAAGGCAACCUACUGCUGCUAACGCUGAGGGCAGGGAUUUGUGAGUAACUUGAGUCUGACAUUAGAAAUUGUUAAUAUCUCAUGGGUUGCCAUCUUUAAGAGAACAAGAAAAUAAAAUGUCAGGGUGCCUGGA